CCUACGGGGGGCAGCAGUGGGGAAUAUUGGACAAUGGGGGCAACCCUGAUCCAGCCAUGCCGCGUGUGUGAAGAAGGCCCUCGGGUUGUAAAGCACUUUCAGUGAGGAAGAACGCCUGGUGGUUAAUACCCAUCAGGAAAGACAUCACUCACAGAAGAAGCACCGGCUAACUCCGUGCCAGCAGCCGCGGUAAUACGGAGGGUGCGAGCGUUAAUCGGAAUUACUGGGCGUAAAGCGCGCGUAGGUGGCUUGAUAAGCCGGUUGUGAAAGCCCCGGGCUCAACCUGGGAACGGCAUCCGGAACUGUCAAGCUAGAGUGCAGGAGAGGAAGGUAGAAUUCCCGGUGUAGCGGUGAAAUGCGUAGAGAUCGGGAGGAAUGCCAGUGGCGAAGGCGGCCUUCUGGACUGACACUGACACUGAGGUGCGAAAGCGUGGGUAGCAAACAGGAUUAGAUACCCUGGUAGUC
rnacentral:rRNA from 1 species